rnacentral:rRNA from 1 species
GACGAACGCUGGCGGCGUGCUUAACACAUGCAAGUCGAACGGAAAGGCCCUGCUUUUGUGGGGUGCUCGAGUGGCGAACGGGUGAGUAACACGUGAGUAACCUGCCCUUGACUUUGGGAUAACUUCAGGAAACUGGGGCUAAUACCGGAUAGGAGCUCCUGCUGCAUGGUGGGGGUUGGAAAGUUUCGGCGGUUGGGGAUGGACUCGCGGCUUAUCAGCUUGUUGGUGGGGUAGUGGCUUACCAAGGCUUUGACGGGUAGCCGGCCUGAGAGGGUGACCGGCCACAUUGGGCCUGAGAUACGGCCCAGACUCCUACGGGAGGCAGUAGUGGGGAAUAUUGCACAAUGGGCGGAAGCCUGAUGCAGCAACGCCGCGUGCGGGAUGACGGCCUUCGGGUUGUAAACCGCUUUCGCCUGUGACGAAGCGUGAGUGACGGUAAUGGGUAAAGAAGCACCGGCUAACUACGUA